rnacentral:rRNA from 1 species
CCUACGGGCGGCAGCAGUGGGGAAUAUUGGACAAUGGGCGAAAGCCUGAUCCAGCCAUGCCGCGUGUGUGAAGAAGGCCUUCGGGUUGUAAAGCACUUUCAGUGGGGAAGAAAGCCUUGGGGCUAAUACCCUCGAGGAAGGACAUCACCCACAGAAGAAGCACCGGCUAACUCCGUGCCAGCAGCCGCGGUAAUACGGAGGGUGCGAGCGUUAAUCGGAAUUACUGGGCGUAAAGCGCGCGUAGGCGGUCUGAUAAGCCGGUUGUGAAAGCCCCGGGCUCAACCUGGGAACGGCAUCCGGAACUGGCAGGCUAGAGUGCAGGAGAGGAAGGUAGAAUUCCCGGUGUAGCGGUGAAAUGCGUAGAGAUCGGGAGGAAUACCAGUGGCGAAGGCGGCCUUAUGGACUGACACUGACGCUGAGGUGCGAAAGCGUGGGUAGCAAACAGGAUUAGAUACCCCUGUAGUC